ACGCUGGCGGCGUGCCUAAUACAUGCAAGUCGAACGGUCUUUCUAUGGAAGCUUGCUUCCACUGAGAAGAUAGUGGCGAACGGGUGAGUAACACGUGGGUAACCUGCCCAUAAGAGGGGGGAUAACAUCCGGAAACGGGUGCUAAUACCGCAUAGUUUUUCUUGAUCGCAUGAUCGGGAAAGGAAAGACGGCCUUUGUGCUGUCGCUUAUGGAUGGACCCGCGGCGUAUUAGUUAGUUGGUGAGGUAACGGCUCACCAAGACGAUGAUACGUAGCCGACCUGAGAGGGUGAUCGGCCACAUUGGGACUGAGACACGGCCCAAACUCCUACGGGAGGCAGCAGUAGGGAAUCUUCCGCAAUGGACGAAAGUCUGACGGAGCAACGCCGCGUGAGUGAAAGAAGGUUUUCGGAUCGUAAAACUCUGUUGUCAGAGAAGAACAAGUUGGAGAGUAACUGCUCCAGCCUUGACGGUAUCUGACCAGAAAGCCACGGCUAACUACGUGCCAGCCGCGGC
rnacentral:rRNA from 1 species